UNUCAGGUUGAUCCUGCCGGACCUGACUGCUAUCUGAUUGGUACUAAGCCAUGCGAGUCGUUGUAGCAAUACAAGGCGGACUGCUCAGUAACACGUAGUUAACUUAACCUAUGGAUGGGAAUAACCUCGGGAAACUGAGGAUAAUACCCAAUGGGCCACAGUGCCUAGGAAUGGCCUAUGGUUGAAAUGAUUUAUCGCCGUAGGAUAGGACUGCGGCCUAUCAGCUUGUUGGUGAGGUAAUGGCCCACCAAGGCUAUAACAGGUACGGGCUCUGAGAGGAGGGGCCCGGAGAUGGGUACUGAGACACGGACCCAGGCCCUAUGGGGCGCAGCAGGCGAGAAACCUUUGCAAUGUGCGAAAGCACGACAAGGUUAAUCCGAGUGUCUCCUGCUAAAGGAGUCUUUUGUCAGUUGUAGAAUCACUGGUGAAUAAGGGGUGGGCAAGUUCUGGUGUCAGACGCCGCGGUAAAACCAGCACCUCGAGUGGUCAGGAGGUUUAUUGGGCCUAUAGCAUCCGUAGCCGGUUGCAUAAGUCUCCGGUUCAAUCUAUGCGCUUAACGUAUAGGCCGCCGAAAAUACUGUGCAGCUAGG
rnacentral:rRNA from 1 species